CAAAUAUACACUGAGGAGUAAAGGCUGGGAUGUGGAGAAGCCUGGCACACCUCCCUUCAGCACAGCUAAAACUGGGGACUACUACAGCCAGGCGUCCAGGGAAAUUCUGGUCAUAGACUGGAGGUUCCGAAUCGCUCACAAAGGGUCAUGCUACAGACCCUUUGGCAGUGAGUGACUUUCCCCACGACCAGAAGUAUUCCGGUUGAGAGAGCCAACAAUUUACUCUGAUGUCUGCUCUGGGUUUGACUCUUCGCCCCUCAACCCAUCCCCAUUCUGCAUUAUCCUGUCCUCAAUUUGAGUCGCCAGAAUUCA
rnacentral:lncRNA from 1 species